rnacentral:rRNA from 1 species
AUUAAAAGAAAUUAAUUUAUUUACCUUUUGUAUCAGGGUUUUUUAAAUUUAUUAUUUAAUUAAUUUUCUCGAAUUUAUAAUGAGCUAAUAAGUUUAUUUUUGUUGUAGUAAAUAAUUAAUUAUAUUAGUAAUGAAAUGUUGUCGUAUUUUAGGUUAUCUAGUUACUUAAAUAAUUUAAAUUAUAGUUAAUUAUAGAUUAAUUAAAUAGAAAAGUUAAUUUUUUUAUUUUAGUAUAUAAAAAUUUAUGUGUUAUUAAUUAGGUUUAAUAUUAAUCAUAUUUAUAUAUUGUUAUAAAUAAGUAUUUAUUUAAUAAGUAAUAUUAUAUUUAUUUAAGUUAUUAAAAUUAUCAUAUAAUUUAAAAAAAUAAUGAAUUAAUUAGUAUUAGGUUUAUAUAAUAUGUUUAACUUGUAGUUUAUUUGACAGUUUAACAAAAACAUUUUUUUUAGUGAAUUUUAAGUAAGACCUGCCCAGUGAAUUUAAACGGCUGCAGUAUUUUAACUGUACUAAGGUAGCAUAAUCAUUUGUUUUUUAAUUGAGGACUGGUAUGAACGGUUUUACAAAUAAUUAAUUAUAAUAUAUUUAUUUAGUAAUUUUUAUUUUGAAUAAAAAUAUUUAAAUAUAAUAAAGGGACGAUAAGACCCUAAAAGCUUUUUUAUAUGUUUUAUUUAUUUUUAAAUAAAAUAUAUAAAUUUAGUUGGGGUAAUGUAAAUAUAAGUUUUAUUUUAAAUAUAUACAUUAAUAUAUAUAUGGUUAUUUGAUCUUUUAUAUAAAGAAAGUUAGUAUUAGUUACUUUAGGGAUAACAGCGUAAUAAUUUUAGAAAGGUCUUAUUAAUAAAAUUGUUUACGACCUCGAUGUUGAAUUAAAAUGUCUACAUGCUGUAGCAGGUGUGUAAGAAGGUUUGUUCAACCUUUUAUUUUUUACAUGAUUUGAGUUCAAAU